AAUACAUAAUUAACUAGAAAUAUUCCAAAUUAAGUAUAAGGCAUGGUAGAGUCAAAAAAAAAGUUAGGAGUUUCGGAAGGUGUAGUCCCCAAAUCAUGUAGCCAUGCAUCAUCAUCAUCAUCAUGAUCAUUAUCAUCUGGAGAGGUAUCCUCAUUUUUCGCCUCUUCGGAAACCUCUUCUGGCAAUGAACCAAGUUGUUCAAGAAUAAUUGUAUUAGAAUCUCGAAUUUUAUUUUCACGCGAUGCAGCCAUCAUCUUCGAGUUUACUCAUAUGUAAACCAAGUCGGUUAAUAUAGUUGGUGUCAAUCUAUUCAUUUUUUUGGUUUGAGUCGUCUCAAAAGUACUUCAAUUUUUUUCAUACGUUAAUGAGCUACAUGGUUGGUUCAAAAUCCGACUGGCAACCAUUCGAACUAAUGGAAUGCUUUCUCCACAUACUGCCCACCAAACUUCUACAUAAUGAGAAAUGUUUAGCCACAUAUUCAAGAUACAAUUUAAAGUGGUAUAAAAUUUAUUUUCUUAAAAUACUUAAAAAAAUAAAUAACACAAGGAGAUACAAAAACCUAAUAGUCCAUAAGAUACUUACGAGGAUGAGCUGUUGACAAUAAUCCUAAUGCAAUACCAUCAAAUAUAUUUGAAUCACGCGUAUGAUACUUCAACAACUUUGAAAAGAAUACAAUUUUGUGUUCUGCCUGGAUCAUUGAAUUUGAAAUCAAGAUAAAUUCAGCUUUCACUUCAGGAUUAUCAAGUUGAACAAACCCACUUUACAUUAAAGUUGUAUUAAGAAAUGUGGCAGCAAUUUGUAUUAAGAAAUGUGGCAGCAACAUGAAUGGGGUGAAAUGCAUUUCCCUUUCGCCUCUUUUCAAAUAUCUUCACGAAUUCAAGAUACCUAGAUUCAUUGCCAUUACAAUUUCUUUUUAAUGCUUCCCUUACUCUUUCCAUUGCUUCAUAUAAAUAUCCCAUGAUUGACCCUUCACUAUCACCCAAACGAAGCACCUUGAUAAGAUGUGCUAAUGUAGUGAUUUGAAUUAUUUCUGUGAUUUUUUAGCCAUUUUUACUCUUGAUAUAAUUCAUAGCUCUUCACUCGGAGGAUGCAAC
rnacentral:lncRNA from 1 species